rnacentral:rRNA from 1 species
GACGAACGCUGGCGGCGUGCUUAACACAUGCAAGUCGAACGGAAAGGCCCUGCUUUUGUGGGGUGCUCGAGUGGCGAACGGGUGAGUAACACGUGAGUAACCUGCCCUUGACUUUGGGAUAACUUCAGGAAACUGGGGCUAAUACCGGAUAGGAGCUCCUGCUGCAUGGUGGGGGUUGGAAAGGUUCGGCGGUUGGGGAUGGACUCGCGGCUUGUCAGCUUGUUGGUGGGGUAGUGGCUUACCAAGGCUUUGACGGGUAGCCGGCCUGAGAGGGUGACCGGCCACAUUGGGACUGAGAUACGGCCCAGACUCCUACGGGAGGCAGCAGUGGGGAAUAUUGCACAAUGGGCGGAAGCCUGAUGCAGCAACGCCGCGUGCGGGAUGACGGCCUUCGGGUUGUAAACCGCUUUCGACUGUGACGAAGCGUGAGUGACGGUAAUGGGUAAAGAAGCACCGGCUAACUACGUG